rnacentral:rRNA from 1 species
GGGUUAGUGGCGGACGGGUGAGUAACGCGUAGGGAUCUGUCCAUGGGUGGGGGAUAACUUUGGGAAACUGAAGCUAAUACCGCAUGACACCUGAGGGUCAAAGGCGCAAGUCGCCUGUGGAGGAACCUGCGUUCGAUUAGCUAGUUGGUGGGGUAAAGGCCUACCAAGGCGAUGAUCGAUAGCUGGUCUGAGAGGAUGAUCAGCCACACUGGGACUGAGACACGGCCCAGACUCCUACGGGAGGCAGCAGUGGGGAAUAUUGGACAAUGGGCGCAAGCCUGAUCCAGCAAUGCCGCGUGUGUGAAGAAGGUUUUCGGAUUGUAAAGCACUUUCAGCGGGGACGAUGAUGACGGUACCCGCAGAAGAAGCCCCGGCUAACUUCGUGCCAGCAGCCGCGGUAAUACGAAGGGGGCAAGCGUUGCUCGGAAUGACUGGGCGUAAAGGGCGCGUAGGCGGUUGACACAGUCAGGUGUGAAAUUCCCGGGCUUAACCUGGGGUCUGCAUUUGAUACGUGGCGACUAGAGUGUGAGAGAGGGUUGUGGAAUUCCCAGUGUAGAGGUGAAAUUCGUAGAUAUUGGGAAGAACACCGGUGGCGAAGGCGGCAACCUGGCUCAUGACUGACGCUGA